UACGUAGGGGGCAAGCGUUGUCCGGAUUUACUGGGUGUAAAGGGCGCGCAGGCGGGAUAAAAAGUCAGAGGUGAAAUCCUACAGCUUAACUGUAGAACUGCCUUUGAUACUUUUAUUCUUGAGUUCGGAAGAGAGAGACGGAAUUCCAGGUGUAGUGGUGAAAUACGUAGAUAUCUGGAAGAACACCAGUUGCGAAGGCGGUCUCUUGGUCCGAUACUGACGCUGAGGCGCGAAAGCGUGGGGAGCAAACAGG
rnacentral:rRNA from 1 species